GUCCUGGGGUGGGGAUGCCAAUUGCAUGAGGAAACCUAGGGACACAGGGGCAGAUGUGACACUUGACAGUCUUGGGCAGAGGAAGCAACCUCUCUGGGUGACACUAGAAAGAGCAGAGCUCUGGAGGUUACAUGCUGAGGUUCCAGGGGGACAGGCCUCUUUCAGAGGCCACAUGAGCUACAGGACAUCUCUGAAGCCACAGAAAACCUGGCUGAAAGCAGUGGACCAGACCCUGGGCCAAAGCCACCAGGGGCUCCUGGGCACCACAGCCUUGUUCUCGCCCUCAGCUGCUCCACCAGCCCCUGGCUAA
rnacentral:lncRNA from 1 species